CCCAAGAUCCCCGGGGGGUGGGGGGAGCUAGCAAAUUCCUCAUGGGAAAACAUUACAUAAAUUUGGUUAUGCUCCAAUUAGGAUUGAAUUCAAAUGACUGGAAAGCACUUAUUCUAUACAACUCCAACAAUUUAUCCUUUAUAGUUGAA